rnacentral:rRNA from 1 species
AAAAACAUGUCUAUAUGAUUGUUAUAUAAAGUCUAGCCUGCCCACUGAUUUGUUUUAAAGGGCCGCGGUAUAUUGACCGUGCGAAGGUAGCAUAAUCAUUAGUCUUUUAAUUGGAGGCUUGUAUGAAUGGUUGGACAAAAAGUAAGCUGUCUCGGUUAUAAUAAUUGAACUUAACUUUUAAGUGAAAAGGCUUAAAUGUUUCAGGGGGACGAUAAGACCCUAUAAAGCUUGACAAUAAUUUCGUUAUAUUAUAAAUUGUUAGUAUAACUUGAUUUUAACGGGAGUUUGUUUCGUUGGGGCGACGGGAAUAUAAUAAAUAACUGUUCUUUUAAAUAUAAUUACAAAAAUACUUGGUAAAUAAUUGAUCCUCUAUUAGAGAUUAAAAGAUUAAGUUACUUUAGGGAUAACAGCGUAAUCUUCUUUGAGAGUCCACAUCGACAAGAAGGUUUGCGACCUCGAUGUUGAAUUAAGGUAUCCUUAUAAUGCAGCAGUUAUAAAGGAGGGUCUGUUCGACCUUUAAAUCCUUACAUGAUCUG